rnacentral:rRNA from 1 species
UACGUAGGGACCGAGCGUUGUCCGGAAUCAUUGGGCGUAAAGAGCGUGUAGGCGGCUAUUUAAGUCCUGCGUGAAAUCCUGCGGCUCAACCGCAGACGGUCGUGGGAAACUGGAUGGCUAGAGUGCGGGAGAGGAGAGUGGAAUUCCGGUGUAGCGGUGAAAUGCGCAGAUAUCAGGAGGAACACCAUGGCGAAGGCAGCUCGCUGGAACGGUACUGACGCUGAGGCGCGGAA